CAGCCGCCGCGGGAAAACGUAGAUGGCAAGCGUUGUCCGGAAUUAUUGGGCGUAAAGGGCUCGCAGGCGGUUUCUUAAGUCUGAUGUGAAAGCCCCCGGCUCAACCGGGGAGGGUCAUUGGAAACUGGGAAACUUGAGUGCAGAAGAGGAGAGUGGAAUUCCACGUGUAGCGGUGAAAUGCGUAGAGAUGUGGAGGAACACCAGUGGCGAAGGCGACUCUCUGGUCUGUAACUGACGCUGAGGAGCGAAAGCGUGGGGAGCGAACAGGAUUAGAUACCCCUGUAGUCCCUGUCUCUUAUAC
rnacentral:rRNA from 1 species